rnacentral:miRNA from 1 species
AGAACUGGCCAGAUGCAGUAGUACAGGCCUGUUGUUUCAGCAGCUCAGGAGGCUGAGGCAGGAGGAU